GCCUCUUUAGCUCAUUAGUUAGAGCGUUGCAUUUGUAUACCAAAGUACACAUGCAUGCAAAGGUCGUUCGUUCAAAUCGGAUAAGGGAUA